AUUGAACGCUGGCGGCAGGCCUAACACAUGCAAGUCGAGCGGAUGAAGGGAGCUUGCUCCUGGAUUCAGCGGCGGACGGGUGAGUAAUGCCUAGGAAUCUGCCUGGUAGUGGGGGACAACGUCCGGAAACGGGCGCUAAUACCGCAUACGUCCUGAGGGAGAAAGUGGGGGAUCUUCGGACCUCACGCUAUCAGAUGAGCCUAGGUCGGAUUAGCUAGUUGGUGGGGUAAAGGCCUACCAAGGCGACGAUCCGUAACUGGUCUGAGAGGAUGAUCAGUCACACUGGAACUGAGGCACGGUCCAGACUCCUACGGGAGGCAGCAGUGGGGAAUAUUGGACAAUGGGCGAAAGCCUGAUCCAGCCAUGCCGCGUGUGUGAAGAAGGUCUUCGGAUUGUAAAGCACUUUAAGUUGGGAGGAAGGGCAGUAAGUUAAUACCUUGCUGUUUUGACGUUACCAACAGAAUAAGCACCGGCUAACUUCGUG
rnacentral:rRNA from 1 species